rnacentral:rRNA from 1 species
AAAGGAAGAGUAUCUAAGAAUGCUUUUUUAAGAAGCUUUCUUGAUGGAGGGGAGUGGCAGACGGGUGAGUAACGCGUGGGAAUCUACCCAUCUCUGCGGAAUAGCUCCGGGAAACUGGAAUUAAUACCGCAUACGCCCUACGGGGGAAAGAUUUAUCGGGGAUGGAUGAGCCCGCGUUGGAUUAGCCAGUUGGUGGGGGAACUGCCUACCAAGGCGACGAUCCAUGGCUGGUCUGAGAGGAUGAUCAGCCACAUUGGGACUGAGACACGGCCCAAACUCCUACGGGAGGCAGCAGUGGGGAAUAUUGGACAAUGGGCGCAAGCCUGAUCCAGCCAUGCCGCGUGAGUGAUGAAGGCCUUAGGGUUGUAAAGCUCUUUCACCGAUGAAGAUAAUGACGGUAGUCGGAGAAGAAGCCCCGGCUAACUUCGUGCCAGCCGCCGCGGUAACAC